rnacentral:rRNA from 1 species
UUAAUUCCGGUUGAUCCUGCCGGACCCGACUGCUAUUUGGGUGAGGAUAAGCCAUGCGAGUUGCAUGGGAUACCUAAAUUUCCCAUGGCAAACUGCUCAGUAACACAUGAUCAACUUGCCCUAUAGAGAAAAAUAACCUCGGGAAACUGAGGAUAAUGUUUCAUAGUUGAAAAGGCUUGGAAAAGUUUUUCAAUAAAAGGGGUAAGGAAAAUGGUCCUUAUCUGCUAUAGGAUAGGAUCGUGUUCGAUUAUGGUUGUUGGUGAGGUAAUGGCUCACCAAGCCGAUAAUCGAUAGGGGCCGUGAGAGCGGAAGCCCCGAGAUGGGUACUGAGACAGCGACCCAGGCCUUACGAGGCGCAGCAGGCGCGAAACCUCCACAAUACACGAAAGUGUGAUGGGGUUACCCAAAGUGUUCUAUUAAGAACUGUGGUAGGUGAGUAAUGUUCCCUACUAGAAAGGAGAGGGCAAGGCUGGUGCCAGCCGCCGCGGUAAAACCAGCUCUUCAAGUGGUCGGGAUAAUUAUUGGGCUUAAAGUGUCCGUAGCCGGUUUA